CACGUAGGGGGCAAGCGUUGUCCGGAUUUAUUGGGCCUAAAGCAUCCGUAGCCGGUUCUACAAGUCUUCCGUUAAAUCCACCUGCUUAACAGAUGGGCUGCGGAAGAUACUAUAGAGCUAGGAGGCGGGAGAGGCAAGCGGUACUUAGUGGGUAGGGGUAAAAUCCGUUGAUCCAUUGAAGACCACCAGUGGCGAAGGCGGCCUUGCCAGAACGCACUCGACGGUGAGGGAUGAAAGCUGGGGGGAGCAAACCGGG
rnacentral:rRNA from 1 species